CUCUCUCUCUUUUUUUUUUUUUUUUUUUUUUUUUUUUUUGUUUCUGUUUCUAGUCUAAGUGUUCUUUCUAGGAGUGGAAGACUUCAUAGCAGAUUGAAUUAAUUGACUCUCUACUGGCUCAAAAAAGGAAGUGAGCUCUCAAAAAUGCCAGGAAGUGGUGAAGUAGAGAAAGGAGACAUCACUGAUAGGACCCAUUCUGAUGACAUCACACUGAAGUGGAUCUCUUUCAAUGAGCUAUUGCUCAAAUAAUGCCUUUGGUUUGGAAAGUCCCUUUAAUGGAAAGGACCCUAUAAACAGUACAGACCCUUCUGUCAAGAAAGUACAAGAAUUAAUCCAUUUGGAAAAGACUGGUUGGAGUCUCUUUACAUGGUAAAGAGAUAAGGUAGAUUCAGGCAAACUCCAUGGUCAAGAAUGUUUAUUAUGGGGUGCCUGGGUGGCCUGUUUGGUUGGGCAGCUGCCUUCGAUUCAGGUCAUUAUCCUGGAGUCCCGGGCUCUGGAGCAUCAGGCUCCCAGGGGAAAAAAGAAAAAAAAAAAAAAAAAGAAAAAGAAAAAGGAGUGUUUAUUAUGUUUAUCAGUUCAAUCUCUUGAAGACUAGUUUGACAAAAUUUUAAGUUAAGUGUUGUAGCGGCAUAAAGUAGUAGAGAAGUGUAUGAGGUCUUAGAUCAUGUUGUCUGACUGUGAAUCUUAACUCCAGCUUUGUGACCUUGAACACAUUACUUUACCUCUUCUGGUCUGAGUCUUCUAAUAGUAGAAUGGAAAUAGUAACUUUACUUAGCUCUAGGGUGAUCGUGAUGAUUAAAUGAGUUGUCAUAUAAAGCAAUUAAAACAGUGCCUUCCAAAUAGUAAGCACACAAUUAAAAAUAGCUGGUAAUUAUCUUCUUGUCACUAUUAUCAUUAUUAUUAUAUUGUGCCAUUGGGGUUGACUUAUUGAAUCAGAUCAUAUCUAUAUAGUUGUCAUGGGCAGAAGUAUAACUAGAUAAGAGGUGAGGAGCAGGAAAGUGUAGUGGGGAGAUACUUUGUUCUCAUGUAAAUAAGAAAGAAAUUCUUUAAUAGUAAAUGCAAUUUUGGUAAGAUGGCAACAUAAGAAGAUUGCACAGUGAUACCUUAUCCUGGCAACUCCUUUAAUACCUUGCUGUGGCAGCCACAUCUGGGUAUUUGCCAUUACUUCUAAACUUUCAGACUCACCUCCUCCCUUGGAGAUACCAAAACUACAGAUACAAGUGGAACAAUUUUAUUAAAAACAAAAACAAAAAACAAACCAAAAAAAACUAAAAGUUGGCUGCAUGGCAACUACACCUUAGACAAAUAAGAAGAAAACCACAUCAAACUGGGUAGGAGAGUCUGAGGUAUAAUCUCACCAUAAAAUUCACCCCCAGAAUGGUGACCCACCACUAGGAGGUAACUCAAAAUCCAGUUUAUCUCACUGACUGGAGGAUUCAAUCCUCACAUCAAACCCCCAAACUUCUAAGAUAUGCAUCCGAGAAACAAGCUUCUAAAACAUCUAACUUUGAAAACCAACAUGUCCUCUUUCCUAAAACCUAUACAACAGUAGCAAUCUGAGAAACAACUCUUAAAGGCUCAUGCAUACAGAUUAACCCACCCCAGGGCCCAACUCAGAAGCAGCCAAUUGUGUCCAAAUUUUAAGUGUAGGUGGCUCACCUACUUGUAUUACAGUAACAGCUUAAUGAGCUGGCUUCUAAUUUAACACACACACCUAGGAAUCUUCUGGAAUAUUCUCUCGGUAGAGAGACUGGCAGGUGCCAUCUUCAUGCCUUCCCUUUUCCAUUUUCCUUUCCCCACCUGGGAGAUACUGCCACCAGUAUCUAGUAUCUCCCAGUAGGGCUUUUACACACAUUUGGUGCCCUGGUUUUUGUGGCUGUUGCCCAGAGGAUGCCUCUUGAUAGCCUGACUCUAGCAACCAAGGGAAUAUGUGAUCCUGGUUUCAUGACACUGUAAUAGGUGGAGUCAACCAGAAAGGAGUUCAUAUCCCUAGCUGGCACCCUGGUUUUUGUGGCUAUUGCCAGGUGACAUAGCUACUUCUCUUGGUUCUGGUGUCCAGUGGGGCUUAUAUUCAUGGGUCUUAUAGGACUGUAAGCAGUAGAGAAAGAUUUCCUAACAGCUACCACCCCCAAGGCACAGCAAGAGGCAAAGGACCCAGGAGCUUGGUCUUUCUGUGAAGGAGGCCUAUUAGCUGAUCAUCAUGGCUGCAAGCCUGAAGGGAUGUUCAUAAUUAAAUAUGCAUCUAGGAGAUGACUGUAAUUUUUUCCAAAGACAUCGGUAGGUGGGCCUUAUCUUUGUGCCCCUCCUCUGUUGUGAAUAUGCUAGAAUGAGCUUUAUAUGUGUCUAUUAUUGCCCUUGUUUAUUAUCCGGCAUUCAGAUUAUUGUAGCUGCUGCCUAAGAUCCCCCUUGAUCAUGUGGCUCUGCUGGCUGGGCAGGGGUGGGAGUUAGGGAUGGGGGUAGGUUUGCAUUACUGGAUCCCAUGACAUGGUGGCAGUCAGAUGGACAGUACUUGGAGGCCUACUACCCCAGGGUACUACACAAAUAGACUGAGGCAUACCCCCUAGUCUUUCUGAGAAGGAGCCUUCUUUGCUUGUCCUGGAACUUUGGCCUGAGGGGAAAGCUUUAUGUUGAGCACACAUUUAGUAUACAGUGUAUUUGCUUUCAAGGAAUGUAGGAUGUGGGUGUUAUCUUGGCAUUCUCUGUCUUGCUUCAGCUUUUUCUCUGAGAAAAGAGCUUAUACGGUUGUUUGAAGCCCCAGUUUUUGGAACUGCCACCCAGAGGACACCUCUAAAUUUUCUGACUCCAGUGACCAACAGUGUUGAUGCUUGUGGUCCUGCAGGACUAUAUUAUUUGCAUACUUAUGAAAGCUGAUAUCUGAGGGUCUGGCUUCUAGUCAGCCUGAAUGUAGGUGCUGAAUUCUUCUGUUUCAGAAUGCUGACUGAUCUUGACACAUCCGUAGAUACUGGGAGAUGUUAAAGAUAUACUAGACUGUGUGGACAAGCACAAGUAUUUGAGAGACACUUAAGAGCUGGGGUAGGGUUGAAUAACAAAAUAUAUCUUCUAUACAAUGCUACUUUUUCAAGACAAGAAGAAGUGGCGGUUAUAUCUACUGUGUAGAAAUCAACACAGAGGGUCAAACAAAAUGAAAAAUAGAGGAAUCCAUUCCAAAUGAAAGAA